rnacentral:rRNA from 1 species
GUAGCUAACGCAUUGAGCGCCCCCCUGGGGAGUACGGCCGCAAGGCUAAAACUCAAAGGAAUUGAUGGGGGCCCGCACAAGCGCCGGAGCAUGUUGCUUAAUUUGACGCAACGCGAAGAACCUUACCAAGGUUUGACAUCACCCGUGGACCUGUAGAGAUACAGGGUCAUUUAGUUGGUGGGUGACAGGUGGUGCAUGGCUGUCGUCAGCUCGUGUCGUGAGAUGUUGGGUUAAGUCCCGCAACGAGCGCAACCCUUGUUCCAUGUUGCCAGCACGUAAUGGUGGGGACUCAUGGGAGACUGCCGGGGUCAACUCGGAGGAAGGUGGGGACGACGUCAAGUCAUCAUGCCCCUUAUGUCUUGGGCUGCAAACAUGCUACAAUGGCCGGUACAAUGGGCGUGCGAUACCGUAAGGUGGAGCGAAUCCCUUAAAGCCGGUCUCAGUUCGGAUUGGGGUCUGCAACUCGACCCCAUGAAGGUGGAGUCGCUAGUAAUCGCGGAUCAGCAACGCCGCGGUGAAUACGUUCCCGGGCCUUGUACACACCGCCCGUCACGUCAUGAAAGUCGGCAACACCCGAAACUUGCGGCCUAACCCUUCGGGGAGGGAGUGAGUGAAGGUGGGGUCUGG